GAUGAACGCUGGCGGCGUGCCUAAUACAUGCAAGUAGAACGCUGAAGGAGGAGCUUGCUCUUCUGGAUGAGUUGCGAACGGGUGAGUAACGCGUAGGUAACCUGCCUGGUAGCGGGGGAUAACUAUUGGAAACGAUAGCUAAUACCGCAUGACAACAGUUAUUGCAUGAUAACUGUUUAAAAGGGGCAACUGCUCCACUACCAGAUGGACCUGCGUUGUAUUAGCUAGUUGGUGAGGUAACGGCUCACCAAGGCGACGAUACAUAGCCGACCUGAGAGGGUGAUCGGCCACGCUGGGACGGAGACACGGCCCAGACUCCUACGGGAGGCAGCAGUAGGGAAUCUUCGGCAAUGGACGGAAGUCUGACUGAGCAACGCCGCGUGAGUGAAGAAGGUUUUCGGAUCGUAAAGCUCUGUUGUAAGAGAAGAACGAGUGUGAGAGUGGAAAGUUCACACUGUGACGGUAUCUUACCAGAAAGGGACGGCUAACUACGUG
rnacentral:rRNA from 1 species